rnacentral:rRNA from 1 species
GAUGAACGCUAGCGGCAGGCCUAACACAUGCAAGUCGAGGGAGGAGCUUUCGGGCUUCGACCGGCGUACGGGUGCGUAACGCGUAUACAAUCUGCCUUUCACAUAGGGAUAGCCCGAAGAAAUUUGGAUUAAUACCUAAUGGUAUAUAGGAGUGGCAUCACAUUUAUAUUAAAGCUGAGGCGGUGAAAGAUGAGUAUGCGUUCUAUUAGCUAGUUGGAGAGGUAACGGCUCCCCAAGGCGACGAUAGAUAGGGGUUCUGAGAGGGAUAUCCCCCACACUGGUACUGAGAUACGGACCAGACUCCUACGGGAGGCAGCAGUGAGGAAUAUUAGACAAUGGUCGGAAGACUGAUCCAGCCAUGCCGCGUGCAGGAAGACGGCCUUAUGGGUUGUAAACUGCUUUUGCAGGGGAAGAAUAAGGACUACGAGUAGUUUGAUGACGGUACUCUGCGAAUAAGCAUCGGCUAACUCCGU